UAGUGGACACACGAGAUGAUUAUGAUGAUGUCAUCAUUAAAAGACCGAGCUCUCAAGGGGUAACAGAGAGAGAGAUGAUGUGAUGAGUUUCAGUGAAGAUGUGAAAAACCUGUUGGAUUAUGAUGAUGUGGAGGAGGAGUCAAACAAAGAAGAUUUGGCCCAGUUAUCAUCCACUGCCUCAGUUCAACAAAUUUGAACACAGUUUGAAUGAUAUUGUUUAUUGAUAUGUCAAACCUUGGGUUUUUAUGUUUCACCAAGUGUUUUUUUCUUUUCUUUUUGUA